rnacentral:rRNA from 1 species
AGAGCGAACGCUGGCGGCAGGCCUAACACAUGCAAGUCGAACGGACCCUUCGGGGUUAGUGGCGGACGGGUGAGUAACACGUGGGAACGUGCCUUUAGGUUCGGAAUAGCUCCUGGAAACGGGUGGUAAUGCCGAAUGUGCCCGUUCGGGGGAAAGAUUUAUCGCCUUUAGAGCGGCCCGCGUCUGAUUAGCUUGUGGUGAGGUAAUGGCUCACCAAGGCUACGAUCAGUAGCUGGUCUGAGAGGAUGACCAGCCACACGUGGGACUGAGACACGGACCCAAACUCCUAGGGACGCAGCAGGUGGGAAUC